GCGCAACGGACCUCUCCGAGCUGGAGUCGCUCUACCUCGCUGGCACCUGGAAGGCCGAAAGCGGCUUAGGCGAUUGGCUUUUGGUUCUCCCUUCGGCCAGUAAGGAACGAGGUAUUGCAGGCAAGCUCGGCAGACGGGAGAGCGGCCGCCGGUCACCAUGGCGACCGCGCGGUAGAGGCACUGCGAGGGGGCGAUACGUCCCCUUGUCUUACAGGCCAGAAUUUCACCGGUGUGGCAACCCGGCCUUCCUCCCCGCCCCAAGCCAAGGGCCUGCCCUGCCCUUUGCGGUGGGCACACACAGGCACCGGGCCUUUCUGGGGGUCUUCAGGUCCCGCUGCUCGAGCGCCUGCUGGGCUUGUACGGUGAAGCCGCCGCCAGGCAGGCAGGCAGGAUGAUCCGGCCGCGAAUGUUGUGUGGAAGUAGACUGCCAUUGGCCCUGGAGGCUCCAUUGAGAUGCCAUGUCUAGCAGCGGGGUUGGAACUCCGCCUCCUCUUUUCAUGUGGGUGGGUGUCCCGCCCCAGUGAAGGCAGCGGGGUGUGGGUGUUGCGGGGGCGGCGGCGCCUCCUCUUAUUCAUCCUAAGUCCACCCGCAGUCAAAUUUAUUUAAUCAGAACCCCCCCCCUCCUGCAACAGUAAAGUCCAAAUAUGAGAGAAGGAGGAAAACGCGGGCCCACUCAGCAGUCUCAGUGUCCCCAGAGUGGCCAAGCUGUUGCUUCUGGGAAACCGCAAAGCAGCCGGACAUCUCCUUGGCAGUCAUGGAUGCAAAUGCUGAUGGCAUUAAAAGAGGAUAAGACUAAGGUGCUACUGGACAAUUUUUUUUAAAAAAAAUAUUAUUUAUUUAUUUCAAUUGCAUCAGACCAUCACAGCUACCUCCCUGAACCAUGGAAGAGGAUGAGGCUAGCCACUAGCAUUGAGGAGAACCAGGUUCUUCCUCUACAAAUUGAGGCAGUUUGCUUUUCACAGGGAUUACCAAGUGGUGGAGAUAAUAUUGCAUUCAGACCUUGCCCUUCAGAGGCACCACACCUCUGAUCCUAGAGGUCCUAGACACAGUCAUCAUGACUAGAAGCCACCAGCAGCAAUAUGACCAGCUGCUACCAACCCCAGCAAGCAUGACCAAUGAACAGGUAUGAUGGGAUUUGUAGUCUGACAAGUUUAGUCAGCCCUACUGAUAGCACGUUAAAUCUCUAUAGCUAGCAGGAGAGAGCAGGUUUAGUGCUCUUGGACAAUGUAGAGCAGGUAUGGGGGAGAACUCUGGCCCUCCAGAUGUUGCUGAAUUACAACUCACAUCAUCCCUAGACAUUGGCCAUGCUUGCUGGGGCUGAAAUGAAUUGUAGUUUAGCAGCAUCCAAAGGUUCCCAAAGCCUAGUGUAGAAGCAGGUUGAGUAGCACUGAACCCAUUCACUUCAGCUGAAGGAGCAGCACAUGCAGGAACCCAUUUUGUAUGUGCAGCUCUACAUCCCAUAAUAGGCAAACUCUCUACAUUACAUUUGCUACCCACUGCUUACUGCCAUGCUGAUAGUCUAGGUCCUGGGCCCUCCUGACAACAAUGCCAAGUCUUCCCUGCUGAGCUGCCUUCUGCUUUACCUUCCUCACCUUCAGCUGUAUUGUGCCACAGAACAUGUGAUGCUGUGCUUGGAGGGCACAACAGUUGGCAUGUGGCCUGAAGGAACCGGAGUUGUGUAUGCUCUUCAGUGCAGUGCAACGAGCUCGCCUGGAAUCUCACCAAGCAAAGGGAGGCCAAAUGCUGUUAAGUGAGUGGGGCUGGGUAGAAAUCAAAUCCUCUGCAUGUGGCUGGUUCAGAGGAUGAGAAACAGGAAAAUCUUUUUUUCAGAGCAGAAGCUCAGACAGUGACUGACUCUUCUGGAACAGAGGAGAGAGAAAGGACACUAAAGAGACUGAGGGGAAGCUUGGACAGCAACUGUUCUCAGUUAAUCCAGAGCCCCCCAGUAAAUAAAAUUGUAGGCAGUUAAUAAAUUACAGAAAUAGGGGAAAGAAGUAUUUUAGGAGGCAGUUUAGUUCAUCUGGAGGGUACCUGGCGAGCUCCUAUUGUAUGUUGGGGUGGAGGGAGGGAGGAAAGAGGGCUCUAAAUUGCCUUUCAGCUCUUUUAAAUUAUUUCUGCAGAUCUUAUUACAGGAGAGAAGCGGCUGCAGAACAACCCGGAAUUCCAGCAGCCAACUGCCCACCAGACCUGUUAUGAAAAAGUAGAAAGUGCAUAUAUAGCCCACAAGCCUGGUGGAGGCAAUAAAAGAUGCCUUCGACUUCCAUUCAUCACUUUGUCAUCUUCAGCUACAUUCAGAUAGUGGUUAGCAGAGCUCACAACAUGGGCAAAUUAACACAUACGAGUCCCUUGCUGGCUUCCUCCUCUCAUAGCUUCCCACAGGAGAUAUAUAUUCCAUUUUCAUGGCUCCUGCCUCCUCUCCUCUUUGGGCCCCAUCCCAGAUGGAAAGAAAAAAGAACUCUUAGGGUAUGAAAUGGGAUGGGGGUGAAGAAAGGAGAGUGUGUCACAGGCAGCAGCAGUAGCAGCACAGCCAAGGGGCUGUACAGUUGCUAUGAAUUAUUGUGGCAAUGUGACACAGCUUUCCCCCUCCAUCAUACUGAAGCAUGGUUGCUUCUGGUACUGAGGGGCUGAGAAGUUAAGAGAUCUGCCCUAAAAGAUUUGGCAGUGCAAAGAAGACAGCUUUGCCCUCAAACCCUGCUGCUCAUAAGAUGCCUGGAGGCACCUAGGUGGCUGUUGCUGUCAGAACAGGGUAGUGGGCUAGGUGGACCUUUUGUCUCAUCCCAUACAACUGCUCUUACAUUCUUAUACCCAGAGUAUCUGUUGUGGAAGUUGCAGAGGGUGCAAUGGAAACAUAACAGCUGUCCUACCCUGCCUGCAGCAUCAACUCUGGUGCGCCACUGCUCCCAAGAGCCCCUUUCUGUUCCUUCAGGGAAGAGGACCAACCUGGAUCUUCUACUCUGUCCCUGAGCUCCAGCCCUCAGCCUCUUGCCUGGCCUUGAAUAGCUGUCUGUCAGUGGCAAUGCUGAGAAACUCAAAGCCAGCCUCCAAGAAAUCCAUGCCCCAGGUCUCUAGGGGCACAGCUGAGUUCCUGGAGAUCACACAAAUCAUCUGGGAUCUCAUCUCUUAAACUUUAAAUCCACAACCAUAAGAUAUAAAUAGCUUGGGCACAAGCCAAUGUAAUCUACCCUUCCACUGUGCAGUGUGUAUAUACAUGGACACUAAAAAUAAACUACAACACAGAAACAGAUCCUGCUGGAUUAAGACAAAUUUGGAUUUUAAUGCCCAGCUUUGCUCAGAGUCCUAGAGUUCAAGGGUCGAUAUAGUAGAUUGCAAGAAGGGUAUAGGUUAGUCAAGCCUCAACAUUUUAUCAUAAUAAACCAGAUGUGGACAAAACACCAAGUUGAAGCCCAUAAAUCUAUUACAGUGAACUGUCAAUGUCCCCUACGGCAGGGUCAUUUGUUAAUUCAUAGCUGGGUCUCUUUUUUCAACAGACCUUGUAAACUCUUUCCUGAAACAUCAAUAAACCAUCUGCUUUGACUAGUUAAUCAAAUGACUUUAUUCAGUCCAAAGCCAUUUUUUCCUAAUAAAAACAGAGUAUUUAUCUCCACGGCUAUAAAAGAGGAUUGUUUUCAACUAUUCACUUAUAGUUAAGAAGCGCAUUUAGUCUGGAUUGAUUUCCAAUGCCUUGGUCAUAUCCUGUCACUUUCCAUUUCUUACACACAACAUCUCAGUUUAGCUACUUAGCAGCAAAAAAAACACAACCUAACUUGGGGCUGGGCACCAGUUCAGGGAGGCAGAAAAGUUCCCAUCAGGAUUAAGAGCGGCAUUCUCCUCUGGCAAGCAGUAGAAUGACAGGUGUCUCCUGCGCCUGUACGUCUUUCACAUCUGGCAUUCUGUUGCAGGGGACCCAACUCCUCUCCUGGGACUGGCUUUCUAAGGAAGGAUAUGUGCCCCAGAACUGCUCUGUAACUACAAAUUCAAUUGCAAAACAACCAAACUGCUCCCAGUUGCACUGAAGCAACCACGCGCUUUUGGGGAUCAUAACAAGUACAUUAACUGCCCUUGUCUGUCUAGCAGAGCCCUGCCUUUGACAGUGCCAGGAAAACAGAGUCUUGGAGCCUUAUGCCAUUGGAGGCACCUGGUACAAUCCUGAGUUCAGCUGCCGUACUCACUGUGGGGCCAAUUCCUGGCCUCUCAACCCAACCAACUUGUCAGGGGUAAGUCUUAAAAAAAAAAAAAAAAGGCGGGUGGGCAUUCACACAGGAAAUACAUACAAGAAUCCGGUGCCCCAGUUCUGUCCUAUCUGCCCCAGUGGGGAGCAGAGGGUGAAUAUGGCAAAGUCAUUUAUAUAAUGUGCCUCUCUGCUGUGUUUCGAAUGGCCAGAGCUUUUGUUAUGCUGUUGCUGGCUGCCCAUGACAGGCAGGAAGCCACAGCCUCCCUUUAUGCCAUUGCCUUAUUCAGCAAUUUACAUCCAGCAUAAAAAUCAAAUAUGCAUGUUGCUACCGCCUCACCAACAGCAGUUUCAAUUUUUGCCUUGCUGUAUUCUAAAUGGGGGGGGGGGGGGCACAGACGGGCAGAGUCGCUUUGCUAGGCCUGAAACUACUUGAAUUUCUGUCUGCUUUAUUGCUAAGUGGCUGGAUGGGAAUGGCUGAAUGCAGCUUCCUAAGAAGCGAGUGCACAGAGAAGGCCUCUUGGGAGGAGGGACAGCAGCAUCCACAGGGGGCAGACUCCUUGGCUUCGACUGGACAGAAGAGCGUCCAUUGAUGGGUCUUCUGGCAGCCUGGCUCUUGGAGCUCUUGAGGAGAAGGGACAAGCUCUCUUGCCUUAAGUGAAUUUCUGUCCAGACAGCUCGCACCCCAAGACAAUGGGGGUGCAGUCCAACAAUGCUCACAGAGCUUCCCUCCUGGAUUCCGUGGAGUCACUGGACACACAGGGAGUUUCAGCCAUCAGAUCACUGCCAAUUCUGAACAAAGUGAGAAAGCAUUUCCAAGGCAAGAUGGGCAGCUACUCAAGCUGACUCCAUGAAAAGACCCAGGAGGCCCUUCUGGCAUGAGCAUCCACUCAGCUCUUAUCCCAUGCUCCAUGUGCACACCAAGACCUUGCCCCGGGCACCUUUGAGUGGCUCUCAUCAUCAUGGUGCUCCCUCCGGAGAGUCUGUCUAGAACAUCAUCACCAUUUUCAUUUGGGGCAGCUCUUGAAGGCACAAGUGAAGCAUCAUUCAAGAAUUUAGAUUCCAAUGGAUUUUGGUCGUUUAAAAAGAGCAGCAAUGCUGGAGCUACGCAGACGGUCAUGCUCCCCUGAGCCCUAAGGUGGUGGGGAGGAGGCGAGAGGCUGCAUCCAGACACUGAAGCCCAACAAGCCGCAGGGCAGAAGCCAGAACCAAAUCAAGCUUCAUUUCUCUUGCUUGUUCAGCUGGCAAAGGCAAACUGCAUUGCCCAGGAUAUCUUUUCUUCUUUUGCUUGAAGGCUAAGAGCCUUUCCCUUGGAAGCUAAGCAAGGAACACAGCUGGCUCCACCGCUGGGCAUCCCAUGCCCCAUCACAGCAGUAGCAGAGCUUUGGUCAUCUCUGCUCCUUUGAGACUCAGCAGAAAAGAAUGGAGGACUCCAGUCUCCAUGACGACAGAAUAAACUCCACAGGUUAUUACAAAUCAUGGGCAUAGCCAAGGGGGGGGCAGGGAGGGGCAGCUGCCCCCCAAGCAAUAAAAAAACAAUAAAAAUACAUAGCAGAGGUUCUGCCCCUCCUAACAAAAAUCCUGGUUAUGCCCAUGUUGCAAAUGACAAGAAAUACAAGUAAAACAAAAAGCAACCCCAAGCACUGUAGGCAGUGCUUAUUUUGAGAAUUCUCCACUACAGUGUGCGCAUGUGUGUGUGCACUCUUAAGUCAAACAACUCCUUUUGUUCCCCUCCCCUCUUGACCCCUUGCUGAGAAGGAAGUUGCCAGGACUUCCUAAUGGUUACUGUAGGGUGCAAUAUCUUUCUCCAGCCUCUGCACACCCCUUAUCUUCUUCCAGCUGCUUUAGUGCCCCAUCGCUGGGCUUGCUUUCAUAGGCAGGGAUGAAGGCUUCCUCAUGUUGUCUACAGCUCUGUCACAUUCAGCACUCGAUCCACUGCACUGCAUACAACCAGUUUCAAACCUGCUGGUGUGGACAGCCUGAGGAAGGUGCCUCAGCCUUGGUGCCUGCCCAUAAAAGCAAGCCUAGAGUGAGAGACGAGGAUGAUGUCAGCAGGUCCCAGAAACCUUUGUUGUGAGAUAUUGGGGGUGAUUUGAGAGUUUGUUUGGGGCCUGGGUAGAUGGGUGGAGUCCUGGGUAAAAGCCAGUGGGCUGAGAGGUGCUGAGUG
rnacentral:lncRNA from 1 species